UACGUAGGGUGCGAGCGUUGCCCGGAUUUAUUGGGCGUAAAGGGCGCGUAGGCGGUCACGCACGUCCGUUGUGAAAUCGCUCGGCUCAACUGGGCGGGGUCAGCGGAUACGGUGUGACUGGAGCAAGCUAGGGGGCAAUGGAAUUCCCGGUGUAGUGGUGGAAUGCGUAGAUAUCAGGAGGAACACCAAUGGCGAAGGCAGCUCGCUGGGACGUGACUGACGCUGAGACGCGAAAGCGUGGGGAGCAAACAGG
rnacentral:rRNA from 1 species